CGCUAAGAAGCUAAACCGGACCCCUAGCGUCAGCCUUUUAAGCUGAAGAUUGGUGCCUUCCUACCACCCCUAGCGA
rnacentral:tRNA from 1 species